UACGGGAGGCAGCAGUGGGGAAUAUUGCACAAUGGGCGAAAGCCUGAUGCAGCAACGCCGCGUGAGGGAAGAAGGUUUUCGGAUUGUAAACCUCUGUCCCCUGUGACGAAGACAGUGACGGUAGCAGGGGAGGAAGCCACGGCUAACUACGUGCCAGCAGCCGCGGUAAU
rnacentral:rRNA from 1 species